CCUGCCUCUAGAGGCACUGCAGGUGUGGCUGCUGGGUCAAGUGUGCAUCAAUAGGUGACAGAGAGGAGAGAUGCAAUGUCUAAGCUCAGUGUUCUGACCUGGGAACAUCUGAAUGACUAGUAGCCUGAUAUU
rnacentral:snoRNA from 1 species